rnacentral:misc_RNA from 1 species
UCAAACUUGGUCAUUUAGAGGAAGUAAAAGUCGUAACAAGGUCUCCGUUGGUGAACCAGCGGAGGGAUCAUUACAGGGUUGAAAAAACACCCAAACCCACUGUGAACAUACCUUUAGUAGCUGCUUCGGCGGGAAAGGCCCCUAAGGGGAAACCCUAGUCCGUCCUCUGAGAGGGGGGACGCCCCGCCGAAGGGCCCAACCAAACCAUUCUACUGUCAGUGAUAUUCUGAGUCGGUAACGAAUAAGUCAAAACUUUCAACAACGGAUCUCUUGGCUCUGGCAUCGAUGAAGAACGCAGC